rnacentral:rRNA from 1 species
CGAAGGGGGCUAGCGUUGCUCGGAAUCACUGGGCGUAAAGCGCACGUAGGCGGUCUUUUAAGUCAGGGGUGAAAUCCUGGAGCUCAACUCCAGAACUGCCUUUGAUACUGGGAGACUUGAGUCCGGGAGAGGUGAGUGGAACUGCGAGUGUAGAGAUGAAAUUCGUAGAUAUUCGCAAGAACACCAGUGGCGAAGGCGGCUCACUGGCCCGGUACUGACGCUGAGGUGCGAAAGCGUGGGGAGCACACAGGAUUAGAUACCCUGGUAGUCCACGCUGUAAACGAUGGAUGCUAGCCGUUGGGCAGCUUGCUGUUCAGUGGCGCAGCUAACGCAUUAAGCAUCCCGCCUGGGGAGUACGGUCGCAAGAUUA